rnacentral:rRNA from 1 species
GCCAAUAAUCUAGCCACCCCUUUUUACCGACACUCAACAACCCCUUAAAAUAUUUUGACAUUUAAGUAGAGACGACCAAAAACCUAAUAAGAGCUAUACUAAAGUACCGCAAGGGAAAGAUGAAAUAAUAGUGAAAAACCAUAAAGCAUAAAAAAGUAAAGACUACAUCUUGUACCUUUUGCAUCAUGGUUUAACUAGUACAAUCAAGCAAUAAGACUUUUAGUUUGACCCCCCGAAACUGAAUGAGCUACCUCAGGGCAGCUUACUGAGCAAACCCGUCCCUGUUGCAAAAGGGUGGGGAGACCCUGUGGUAGAGGUGAUAGGCCUAUCGAAUUCAGUGAUAGCUGGUUUCUCAAGAAAAGAAUUUUAGUCCAACCUAAAGUCAUCUAAUAAAAUAAAUUAUCUACUUUAGAGUAAUUCAAGUAAGGUACAGCCUAUUUGAUACAGGACACAACCUCGGACAACGGCUAACUUAUGACACAAUUAAACUGAGUAGGCYUAAGAGCAGCCACCCUAAAAGAGCGUUAAAGCCCAAUUUUUCCAACACUAAAUCCCGCAACUUACAAAGAACCCUUCAUCAGUAUUGAGAACUUCUAUACCUAUAUAGAAAUUUUUAUGUUAAAACUAGUAACAAGAAGACACUUCUCUUUUAUGUAAACGCAAAUUAUACCCUCCACCUAAUUCUUAUACACCAUGGCAGCAACCCUAAACCCUUGAAAACCCUGCCUUUUAAACCGUAAACCUUACACAAGAGCAUUUCAAGAAAGAUUUUAAAAAAAAGAAGGAACUCGGCAAAUAUAGAUUCCGCCUGUUUACCAAAAACAUCGCCUCUUGAACAAAUAUAAGAGGUCCAGCCUGCCCAGUGACAUCAAUUUAACGGCCGCGGUACUCUGACCGUGCAAAGGUAGCGUAAUCACUUGUCUUUUAAAUGAAGACUAGUAUGAAAGGCCCAACGAGAAUCUAACUGUCUCCUUUUUUUAAUCUGUGAAACUAAUCUCCCCGUGAAAAAGCGGGGAUUUCUAUAUAAGACGAGAAGACCCUAUGGAGCUUUAGAUAAAGCAAUACUUUCUUUUCCCUCUUCAAAGUACCCAUAAAGCAUUUUAUUGCCUAUCUUCGGUUGGGGCGACCGCGGAGUAAAAUCUACCCUCCACGCUGAACAGGACCUCCUUAAACAAAGAGCUACAGCUCUAUGCAUCAAAAAAUUGACAAUUGACCCAAUACUUGAUCAACGAAACAAGUUACCCUAGGGAUAACAGCGCAAUCCACUUUGAGAGCCCUUAUUGACAAGUGGGUUUACGACCUCGAUGUUGGAUUAGGGUAUCCCAGUGGUGCAACCGCCACUAACGGUUUGUUUGUUCAACAAUUAAAACCCAACGUGAUCUGAGU